UCUAAGAAACAUGGCGGUCCAGCGGA
rnacentral:piRNA from 1 species